AAUCCCCCCUUACCUCCCCACGCCCCCACUUCCUCCCUGAUCCAGCCACCAUCCCCACGCCCCUACUCCCUCUCCCAUCCAGCCACCCACCAUCGUCGGCGUCGGCCCACCACCGCCUCGGGAAUCGGCCGCCGCACCGCCCCCGCUCCGAGAACCGGCCACCGCUUCCCUCCCUUACCGCGCCGCCGCCGCUUCCCUCCCCGGACUGCGCCACCGCCGCCGUCACCCUCCACGGAUCAUGCCACCGCCGCCUCCCUCCCCGGAUUGUGCCGCCACCAUCUGCCGCUAGCUAUCGCUGCCUGUGCAGUCCUUCGCUAGCUGCCGCUGCGGUCCACCGCUAGCUCUCGCGGGGGAGGCAGUGCUGCUCCGGCUACCCAUGCGUCACCGGCUGCCGCCGCGAACGGCGUCCGGACGCCAUCACGUCUGCCCCCCGGCGCCGCCUCGGGACAAACCUCUUCCACGCGGGCGACUGGCCGCUCAAACUUCCCCUCGCCGGCCGUCGUGGGCCUCUGUAUCCUCUCAUGGCGGCUCCUCCCCUGUUCACAAGCAAGGUCAACUGCGGAUGGAUGAGACUCAAAAAAUGGUGGUACGUACUGGAAAAUACUCCUGGCAUACUCAUGUCGUUGGCAGCAGAAGGUCAUCGGGCUGGGCACCGGCUGCUUAUGUGUUGUACGCCUUGGGCGUCCCUGUGCUGGUGAUGAGCAUGAUGGCCGUGCAUUGACCUGCAUCGCCUGUCCGAACUGUGCCGGCCAUGCGUACGACGACCUCGUCCAUCCCUGAUCACCUCUUCCGCGCAAUCAGCCGCGCAUACACAGACAUGCCUGUGCUGUAUUAUACUUGAACUUCAGAGCUUCUGAACUCUUUGUAUCGGUGUGCAUGUUUUUAUAUUGUGUCAUUGCAUAGCUCCACCACUGAAUUUGGAAAUUCAGUCAAUGCUUAAACUUGAUAAAAAAGAGCAAGAAACAGUGACAGAUUAUGUGUGUUUUUCACGGAAGUGAGCUGGGAAUUAAGAUGUUCCUUUUUCAUAAUAUUAAGGGCAUCGAUCAUUCAACUAUUUAUGUUAUCCUUCGUGCUCUGACUUGAGUGAAGUUAUGUGAACUAGCAUAGUAUAUUGUAAUUUUCUGAUUUUGAGUCAUGGCAUAUAGUCCUCACACAAAGUAGUUGAAAAUAUAUUGAAGUAUAUUAUGCACAUAGUUAUCCUCCCUAAUGCCUAAACUGGUACCUUUUCAAUCUUUGUGCUGACUACUAAACAUAAUUAUUGUAGGUCUUCCCUGACCCAUGGUCACGCGAAAGCGGUGCUACUCCGGCAAGCUCCUCUAUCCCCCGAGCACAGUGUUGUCCAUGACGGUCUCCUCCCUCCUGUUCCCUCAGCGAGGAUGAUGUCAUUUUUUGCGAAACAGAAAGUUAUGUAGUUCUUCAGUAUAUGUCCAUAGAAACCUAUGACAAUUUCUUCAGUAGCAGUUCAACAAAAAAUCAUGUUGUAGUUCUUGAGUAUUGUUCCAUUAGAAUUUCAUGUUAUCUAAGUAUUUUUAGUACUUGCUAUUGCAGAUAAGUGUUUGUUAGAAUUGACAUUCUAUUAGUAAAGUACCAUUCUUCAGUA